GCCAAACGGUUUACUGAUAGUGGAGAACUACCACAAAAAAAAGAAAACAUUGUUGAUAUUAAUCUGACGCCAUGUCAACGGUUACCCCCUCGACCGAGUAGAGAUAGUUUAAAUUUCUGUUGUCACUGCUGUGACAAAAAGUUCCCGCCUCGAAUUUUUCUUCAUCGAGUUUUCGUGGUCGCCUAACAAUGGAAAAAAACAUCCAUAGCCAAAACAAAUGGAUAACCGUUUUUAUUUUUCCAGCCUAAGCCCGCGGUGGCCAUUUCUCGGGUCUCCCGUCUCGGUCUGUGCUAAAAAUGUCGCCAUUGCUGAAAGACAAUUGCGAUAUGUAUUGAAGAAAUCUAUGUGUAACGCGUCUAUGUAAGCCGUUUGCUUGCUGACCGGCUCCGUAUUAUGGUGUUCUUGUAUUUCAAUAUCGCUGUGACAAUGGCGUCGUCGGGCACAUCCGAAGCCGUACAAAUGCCGGGUAGAAAUUCGGAUCAAACGAUCGGAAACGAAACAAAUAAUAAAAUACCGAAAAUCGAAAUCAACCGUCGUCGAACCUAGGCCGUGUAAAAAAACGUAGGGAUGAAGUCGAGACCGACGUUGUUUGACCGUGUCUCUUGCCAGUUUCCGAGAAAGGCGUUUCACCGAUUUCCAAACUAGGUGCAUUGUUUACAACUUGAAUAUUGUCGUGAAAUGACACCGUCGUCGUUGUUAUAUUUAGUCAACCGUCGUAUUUCGAUCGCAAACCAACACACGAAAAUCGAAAAGCCUCGAGUGAUUUUUAGGCCAGUCCAGCAGCAGCAAUGUCGCCCUGUGGAAAUGCAACAUCACCACCGAAUCAAAGUUAGGAGAAAAAAUUUGUUGCAUUCAACAUCAGCAGUAUAAUUAAGCAAAAAUGGCAUUGUUUUUCAAAAACUGGAUUGAAAUGAUUACAAGAUGUGUUUUUGGUUGUUUGGUCAGAGUAAACUAGUUGCAGUGAAAACAUCUGUUAUGGAAAAUGAAUGAUAUUGCUUGCAACAGGAACUCUUCUGUUAUAUUAUGACUCGAAACAAAUCUGUAACCUAAAUUCGAACGUUUCUGCUGAUAUUGACAAUAUAAAAUACAUUUUAGAGACUCAAAACAAAUCUGUAACCAAAUUUGAAAAUUCGAACGUUCCUGCUGAUAUUGACAAUAUUAAAUUAAUUUUAGAGGCGAGUCAAGAGUACAAGAGGACAGCAAGUAGCUGAUAUAUUUAUAUUUUCCUACUCCAUACUACAGUCUUAACAUUACCUCGCCACAAGGUGAACUUAAAACUUUCGAAAAAUUGGACCUGCAAAACGGAGCAAGAAACGUAUGUCCAAAACGUAA